rnacentral:tRNA from 1 species
GUAGCUCACCGGGCCAUUACGAACAGUUUCCUAAACUGUAGGUCGGAGGUUCGAAUCCUCUUCGGG